rnacentral:rRNA from 1 species
GGGUGGUAAUGCCGGAUGCUCCAUCACACCGCAUGGUGUGUUGGGAAAGCCUUUGCGGCAUGGGAUGGGGUCGCGUCCUAUCAGCUUGAUGGCGGGGUAACGGCCCACCAUGGCUUCGACGGGUAGCCGGCCUGAGAGGGCGACCGGCCACAUUGGGACUGAGAUACGGCCCAGACUCCUACGGGAGGCAGCAGUGGGGAAUAUUGCACAAUGGGCGCAAGCCUGAUGCAGCGACGCCGCGUGAGGGAUGGAGGCCUUCGGGUUGUAAACCUCUUUUGUUAGGGAGCAAGGCAUUUUGUGUUGAGUGUACCUUUCGAAUAAGCACCGGCUAACUACGUGCCAGCAGCCGCGGUAAUACGUAGGGUGCAAGCGUUAUCCGGAAUUAUUGGGCGUAAAGGGCUCGUAGGCGGUUCGUCGCGUCCGGUGUGAAAGUCCAUCGCUUAACGGUGGAUUCGCGCCGGGUACGGGCGGGCUUGAGUGCGGUAGGGGAGACUGGAAUUCCCGGUGUAACGGUGGAAUGUGUAGAUA